rnacentral:rRNA from 1 species
AUGAACGCUGGCGGCGUGCCUAAUACAUGCAAGUCGAGCGAACAGAUAAGGAGCUUGCUCCUUUGACGUUAGCGGCGGACGGGUGAGUAACACGUGGGUAACCUACCUAUAAGACUGGGAUAACUUCGGGAAACCGGAGCUAAUACCGGAUAACAUUUGGAACCGCAUGGUUCUAAAGUGAAGGAUGGUUUUGCUAUCACUUAUAGAUGGACCCGCGCCGUAUUAGCUAGUUGGUAAGGUAACGGCUUACCAAGGCGACGAUACGUAGCCGACCUGAGAGGGUGAUAGGCCACACUGGAACUGAGACACGGUCCAGACUCCUACGGGAGGCAGCAGUAGGGAAUCUUCCGCAAUGGGCGAAAGCCUGACGGAGCAACGCCGCGUGAGUGAUGAAGGGUUUCGGCUCGUAAAACUCUGUUAUUAGGGAAGAACAAAUGUGUAAGUAACUGUGCACGUCUUGACGGUACCUAAUCAGAAAGCCACGGCUAACUACGUG